AACUGAAAAAGGCAAACUUACCUGAAAAGGAAGGACGCAAAGCCAUGAGCCUACCCACUGCUUAAUCAGUGCACGGUCGUCAGGUUGCCAGG
rnacentral:ncRNA from 1 species